AAAGAAAAAAAAAGAAAAAGGAGAAGGGAAAGAAAGAAGAAAACAAAGGAAAAGAAAAGGAAGGAAGGAAGAAAAAAGGAAGGAGGUGGGAGAGAAACAGCCUUCUCUGUCACAGCAAGUCCACCCCGCGUUCUCAAGGCUGGAGGACGCGGCGGGCGUGGAGAAGCUUUAUGGAUUCCAUAGCGGGAGGCAGUACAGCUUCAUAGAGGGUUUUAAGCAAGUGGCGGAGGAUUUGCGGAACAGCUGUGCGGCAGGCGCACGUGCUUCGAGGUGGAACAGCCCCGUCAGCACCGGGGCUGUCCGGGCACACACCCUCACACCCUCCGCGCGCACAGCUGGGACCCAUCAGGGCUGCAAGGAAUUAAUACUCUUAACCUGGUAUUUUAUUGGACCUAGAGGAGCCUGAUGCUAUAUUAAAUCCGCGGCACGGGCUGGGAGUCAGGACAUCAACCCAUCUUUGGUGUUGGGUGUGGGGGGAGACAUAAUUCAACACACAAGAGAUGUGUUUGAUGAUCCAAGCAGCGUGAGAAGCACGGACUCGGGAGCAGUCUGGGUUCAGAUCCGACUG